ACCAGUAGCCACGUGGCACCGCCAUCUCCUCCCCCAUGGCUCCCAUCGCUCAAUUCACCAUACUAAUGAGAUUUCCAUCAAUCUUCCUUUCCCGGCUUUCAGCAAACUCUUCAGGUCAUAUACGACCCAUUUGCUUUUGCACCCGAUCAGAAAAGGACCCUUUUCUUCUUUCUCUCCAUUAAUUCUUAUUGUUUAGGAAAAAGCUGAACUUGGGUUGGGUUUUUGCAGUCAGGAACUGGUGUAUAGCUACAGAUAUAGAAAGCAUGAAUGGAUUUUUUUUUCUCUUUUGGUUGAGUGGGGAAACCCUAGCUAUGGUGUUUGGAGGUAUUUUUUUUUUUUAUAUGAAUAUGAUAUAUAAGUUGGUGGGUUUUGUGUUUAUUGCCCAUAAUAGGUGUGUUUUGUGGAUUCAGAUCUGAAGGUGAAAAGGAGAAAGAGCCAAAAGAAAAUAAAAAGAGGGACACUAGAGAGACUGACAGAAGAGAGUGAGCACACGCAAGCAAUUGUAUGAGGCCAUACAGUUGCAGGGUGCGUGCUCACCUCUCUCUCUGUCAGGUUCCCACUUGCAAGUGUUUCCUCACCCCCUUCUUCUUUCAUUCAAAACCCUUGAUUAAUUCUUAUUCUUGAUAGACACAACCCUCAAGCGUCUGCUUCUUGAUUGACACACAGACUACUUCUCUAUCACUCUCUCUUCCAUCCUCCAUAUAUCUUUCUUUGCUCUAUACCCCUUCCAAGCAGGUGUUCUUUGAAGGCAGGCUUUUGACACAUAUAGUCUCUUCUACCACCACCACCACCACUAACACCUCCUCCUUCUCCUCCUUGACACCUUUCUUCCCUUCUUCCCACAGGCACCUAAAAAUUAUAAUUUUUUUUACAUGUACUUUGUUGCAGGUAGUGAGGGGAAUGUUGGCGAGUUCAUCAGAGGUGAGCUCUUUUUGUCAUUAAUUGAUUAUAUGUAUUUAAUAAAAAAAGGAAAAAAUUCGAAACUUUUGUAUCUUUGUAAUUAUAUAAUAUAUUUAAAAGCUUGUGAUGGGGGCUUCAUAGCGUGAUUUUCCAUGGUCCUCUAUGGUAGCGGAAAGGACCAUGCGAGUGUUCCUUCAAGGUACGCCUUGUUACUGUUCAAAUUUAACGGAAAACGGUAUUUUCGAAUCUAAAUAUUAUCAUUCAACUUUGUGGGUUUUUUUUUUUUUUUUCCUGUGCUUUCUUCUUUGUUUUCCAGAGACCAUGAAGGUAAAGAGGACUAAACUUAAUGGGUAAUUUUGGCCCUUUCCUGUUUCUUGAUCUCCCUUAGUCUGCCCCUGAUUUGGGGUUUUACUCAGAUGGGUUUCCAUAAAAUAACCUUAUUUUUGCCUGUUGUUGAUUAUUAUUAAGGAUAUAUGUAUUCCUGAAGCAAAGUAGCUGUUUCGAGUCUAUCUCAUGGACUCCUUUUUGGAAAGAAAAUGGGAACCUUUUUCAAAAUGGCCCUGUGCUAAUGGUUACAAAUAUGGGAAGGUUUUCUUGUUUCCAUUCCUGGACAGAUACGCACUAAUCUAUCAUCCUAUGGCCAAAAGGGUAGUUUUUGAAGAGAAUUUCCAUUUCCACAGAAACUGCUUCUAUUUGCUGUCGCCUUCAGGAAGCAGAUUGUGGGCCUAUUUGACUGCUCGUGUCAGUUGCUUCAAAAGAAGAUAACCCAUUAAAGAAGGCUCAAGACAUUGGUUCGCCAUAAGUAAGAAUUAAUUAAUAGGAUAGUGGCUGUUAAUGUUUGAUUAAAUUAUUGCCAACUUGAUAGCAAUUCUAGAAUUGCUUUUAAUAUCAAUAUAAAUAAUGGACUGUUUGCAUGCAAAAUAACAAGCACAUAUUUGUCUCAACUACUAAUAUAUGUUAAUGGGUUUUAUUGAUAGAUUAACUGAUAGAUCAAUGGCUAUGUUUAUGCUUGAAUAUGAUCAUUUUAAAUUGAUAUUUGCUAUGGCUGUCUAUAUCAAGGUUGAAUGAUUUGGUGCAUCUUUUAGUCAGUGAGUCACGUUAACUGCUUUGUGUUAUGGUGAUUAUAAUUUGGUAUUUAAAGUUCCUUUCUUUAGGGAACUAGACUUGCAGCACGUAGGUUUCUGGGGUGACAUUUCUACAGGAACUCUUUUCAAGGAAAAGAAAGAAAAGACUGUUAAUAUGGUCUAAUCAGUUUUCCAGUUUUGAACAUUGUAAAAUUGCGUUUUCCAAUUUUGAAGAUAUCUUAAGUGACAGUUAAUAAUAAAAUGGUGCUACAAUCAUUAUGGUAAUA